rnacentral:rRNA from 1 species
GUGAAGAAAAGUUGAAAAGUACUUUGAAGAGUUAAYGAGUACGUGAAACCGUUCAGAGGUAAACCUAAGAAACCCAAAAAAUCGAACGGGGAGAUUCAUCGUCAACGAAACUGGCUUCGCGUCGGUGGGCGAUAACCCCGCGGUGUGUCCUAAGCGGCACGCGCGUGCGGGCACGCUACCGAACGCCGAUGUCCGGUUUUCGUCGUCGUGCACUUCUCUCCUAGUAGAACGUCGCGACUCGCUGUGUGUCGGUCACCGACCCGGGUGCGGUUACUGUCACGUCGCCCGUAAAAACGGCGCGCGGCAAACACCCCCGGUCGCC